GAGCCUUCUUGAUAAAUACUCAUUGAUACUGCAAUCAAUAAAGGGAAGGAUUUGGAGAUCACACCUGCCAAAAAAAGGCAGAAAAUGGGGAGAAAGUUCACCUAAGUUCUCUACAAUGUAAAAGCAUAAAGUUAAUUUCUAAUCAAGUAUUUAGUUGAAUGAGGGUGAUUCAAAAAUUGCCUUGGUUAUAUUGAGCUGAAGGUUUUCUCUUUGACAGGGGACAAGUUCCUGCCCCAUCUGCAUUCUGGUGGUUCAUAUUGUUCUUACCUAAUGAGAUAUAAAAUAUCUCCUAAAUAUUGACACUUUAGAGGCAUGCUUCACUCAGCAUGAAGGUUUGAGACAUCAAGGAUACCUUGGGCAUCCUCAGAUUCCUACAACUUGUCAGACAAAUUAGCACCUUUUCAACCAAGGGUAAAAUUGAGUUUCACAUUUCUUCCUGGUGGGGGGAAAGAAUGAAGGAGAAAAUCACUCUGGUUUAAUACUCCCUUUGUUAAGACAAAUACAGAGAGCCUUAUCAUCUCUGUACAGCUCUCCCUGACCUCCUGAUUUUUAAUUCAUUGGUUUUAAAUGAUCCUUGACAGUUAAGAUCCUUUUGUCAGUGCCUCUGUGCUUACUGCAGAAGACAGACACUGUGGCUUUUAUUAGUCAAGCUAUUUCUCUUUUUAUGAAAUUUAACAAAUUAGUCUUAAAGAAAAAUUAACAUUUUGUUAAUAGAUGCUGACAAAUAGAUUUUUAAAUUUUUUAAAAUUGUAUAGGCAUUUAAAAAAUUUACUUGAGUCCAGUUUAUGAGCUGAGUUAACCACUUUAAGAAGUGAGAGGAUGACACUAACAGCUUUAAAAUUCCUCUGGGGAAGCUUCAGAAAAAUGCUAUCCUGUAAUUCUGAAUAAAAUGUACCAUGUUCGUUCUUCCUUUCUUUUUCCUACAAAUAACUUUUAAUUUCAUAAAGUGGAAAGAAAUACAUGAAAAAUGCCUUG
rnacentral:lncRNA from 1 species